AAAGGAGCUCCCAGCUCAUCUCACAAGUAAGACUGGGGUAGCAAGCAUUAAAACCGGCUUCUCCUGUUUCAACGGAAAUGUACAAGAGGUGUUGUGCUGAGCACUGAGGAAGAAGUGGUGAGUGACAGAAGGGACUUGUGGGCUGGCGAGGCCGACUUAAACCCUCAACCAGAUGCAGUCGGUCAGAGACUGUUCCCCCGAGGAAGGGAAGUUUCAGCUGAGAUUGGAAAGCUGAAUGGGUGUUAACCAGGCAAAGGCAGGAGGGAAGAGUUCUUCAGGGAGUGAGAACAGUACAUGCAAAGGCACGGUGGCAGAGAAGGCGAACACAGGAGGGACCAAAAAAGGGUCACUGUGGCCAAAUAGCAACCAGGAACACAUUUAGUUUUUCAUCUGUGCCAGGUGCCAUUUUAAAGGCAGCUGAUUCACAUGUUACCUCAUGUAACCCAUGAUUGCACCUGAACUUGACAGAAAGCACUGAGGCACCAGGACAGUACCUAACCAACCCAAGCUCACUUCAAAGCAAAACAAUUAUUUCUUCUUUUUUUAUCUUCCCUGAAACAAGGGCAUGCAUACUGGCUGGGGGAGGGGGGGGGGGAGACAUGAAAAACUCGUGAAUCAAAUUCACUGUGGAGUGAAAGUAGUCAAGCCAGUUCUCACUACAGUCAGUUGAGAGACUAAAACCAUCACUUUCCAACUAGGUGUUUUCAUGCUGUAAGACUGUAACCACAGUGAAAUGUUUUGCAGGAGACGAUUAAUUCCCUUUUUAAGAAUCGGAGCCCAUGUAGUUAAGUUCAAGUUGAAAAGAACUAAAAAUACUUAGUGGAAGUCAUUUGAAUAAUGGUUAAAAAAAAAAAACUUUUCCCAAAUUCC